UACGGGAGGCAGCAGUGGGGAAUAUUGCACAAUGGGCGCAAGCCUGAUGCAGCCAUGCCGCGUGUAUGAAGAAGGCCUUCGGGUUGUAAAGUACUUUCAGCGGGGAGGAAGGUGUUGUGGUUAAUAACCGCAGCAAUUGACGUUACCCGCAGAAGAAGCACCGGCUAACUCCGUGCCAGC
rnacentral:rRNA from 1 species